CAGCCAAAUCACAUUGAAACACCAGUUCCUGUACAAUCAAUAAAGUUAAGCAAUGUUGAGCCUGGUCAGUACCUACAUGGGGGACUGCUUGGGAAUACCAGGUGCUGUAA